ACCGGGUACAGUGACGUGCCCCUGUAAUCUGAGCUACUUGGGAGGCUGAGGUGGGAGGAUCACUUGAGCCCAGGAGUUCAAGGUUGCAGUGAGCUGUGAUUGCACCACUGCACCCAAGCCUGGGCAACAGAGAGAGACUCUGUCUCUU
rnacentral:SRP_RNA from 1 species